rnacentral:snRNA from 1 species
GGAUGUGAAGGUGAUGUAGCUGCGACAUCUGAUAUCCCAUUGAUCACCAGAGUUGAUUCAGCUGAUCUGGCUGGCUAGGCACGUGUCCCCUUCCUCCCUCACCACUCCAUGUGCAUCCUUCCAGAAGCCACACACUCGGUCAAAGAGGAUGACCUGCCCCGCUUGAGGAGGAUCGGUUUUGAUCCCCUGCUAGAACCUCCAAACAAGCUCUCAGGAAAUGAGUUGAUAGGAAAAGCAAUAUGCAGAAUACAGAUUUAUAUUGUUAAGAGAUAGUAU